GGGGAUUUAGCUCAGCGGUAGAGCACUUGCCUAGCAAGCACAAGGCCCUGGGUUUAGUCCCCA
rnacentral:tRNA from 1 species